GACGAACGCUGGCGGCGUGCCUAAUACAUGCAAGUAGAACGCACAGUUUAUACCGUAGCUUGCUACACCAUAGACUGUGAGUUGCGAACGGGUGAGUAACGCGUAGGUAACCUGCCUGGUAGCGGGGGAUAACUAUUGGAAACGAUAGCUAAUACCGCAUAAUAUUAAUUAUUGCAUGAUAAUUAAUUGAAAGGUGCAAUUGCACCACUACCAGAUGGACCUGCGUUGUAUUAGCUAGUAGGUGAGGUAACGGCUCACCUAGGCGACGAUACAUAGCCGACCUGGGAGGGGGAUCGGCCACACUGGGACUGAGACACGGCCCAGACUCCUACGGGAGGCAGCAGGAGGGAAACUUCGGCAAUGGACGAAAGUCUGACCGAGCAACGCCGCGUGAGUGAAGAAGGUUUUCGGAUCGUAAAGCUCUGUUGUAAGAGAAGAACGGGUGUGAGAGUGGAAAGUUCACACUGUGACGGUAUCUUACCAGAAAGGGACGGCUAACUACGUG
rnacentral:rRNA from 1 species